GAUGAACGCUGGCGGCGUGCCUAAUACAUGCAAGUCGAGCGAACAGACGAGGCGCUUGCUCCUCUGACGUUAGCGGCGGACGGGUGAGUAACACGUGGAUAACCUACCUAUAAGACUGGGAUAACUUCGGGAACCCGGAGCUAAUACCGGAUAAUAUAUUGAACCGCAUGGUUCAAUAGUGAAAGACGGUUUUGCUGUCACUUAUAGAUGGAUCCGCGCCGCAUUAGCUAGUUGGUAAGGUAACGGCUUACCAAGGCGACGAUGCGUAGCCGACCUGAGAGGGUGAUCGGCCACACUGGAACUGAGACACGGUCCAGACUCCUACGGGAGGCAGCAGUAGGGAAUCUUCCGCAAUGGGCGAAAGCCUGACGGAGCAACGCCGCGUGAGUGAUGAAGGUCUUCGGAUCGUAAAACUCUGUUAUUAGGGAAGAACAAAUGUGUAAGUAACUAUGCACGUCUUGACGGUACCUAAUCAGAAAGCCACGGCUAACUACGUG
rnacentral:rRNA from 1 species